rnacentral:rRNA from 1 species
CCCUUAGAUGUUCUGGGCCGCACGCGUGCUACACUGAGUGGAUCAGCGGGUCAGGUUGCGCGAAAGCGUUUCCUAAUCUUUAAAUCCGCUCGUGAUGGGGAUUGACGGUUGCAAUUUUCUGUCAUGAACGAGGAAUACCUUGUAAGCGCGGGUCAUCAUCCCGCGCUGAAUACGUCCCUGCCCUUUGUACACACCGCCCGUCACUCCUACCGAUUGAGUGGUCCGGUGAGGCUUUGGGAUCUGAGCGGAAAGAGCGUUUCGCUGUUUCUGCUCGGAAAACUCAGUCGAACCUUACCAUUUAGAGGAAGGAGAAGUCGUAACA